rnacentral:rRNA from 1 species
CCUACGGGUGGCUGCAGUCGAGAAUAUUCCACAAUGGACGCAAGUCUGAUGGAGCGACGCCGCGUGCAGGAUGACGGCCUUCGGGUUGUAAACUGCGGUAACUAGGGAAGAACUACGUGACGGUACCUAGUGGAAAGAGGCGGGUAACUACGUGCCAGCACCAGCGGUAAUACGUAGGCCUCGAGCGUUAUCCGGAUUUAUUGGGCGUAAAGAGCAUGUAGGAGGCUUCCUAAGUCUUUGGUUAAAGACCACCGCUUAACGGUGGGAGUGCUGAG